rnacentral:misc_RNA from 1 species
UACGUAGGGGGCAAGCGUUGUCCGGAAUUAUUGGGCGUAAAGCGCACGUAGGCGGCUCUUUAAGUCUCACUGUGAAAGCCUGCGGCUCAACCGCAGGAGGCCAGGGGAUACUGGAGGGCUGGAGACAGGUAGAGGCGAGCGGAAUUCCGGGUGUAGCGGUGGAAUGCGUAGAGAUCCGGAAGAACACCAGAGGCGAAGGCGGCUCGCUGGACCUUGUCUGACGCUGAGGUGCGAAAGCGUGGGUAGCAAACAGG